GUGCUCGCUUUGGCAGCACACAGAUAAAAAAUGGAACAAUGCAGGGAAGAUCAGCAUGUUCCCUGCACAAAGGUGACACACAAAUUUUUGAAGCAUGCCAUAUUUUU
ensembl:snRNA U6 U6 spliceosomal RNA